GGUGGUGGCAGCGGAAAAAAGCAAUCGCAGUGGUGGCACAGGGUCAAUAGCCCGUCAAAUGUCCGGGGGCCCUGUGUGUGAUCGCCACAAGCUGCUUCCCUCCAUGGUUCCAUGUUGAUGUGCUUCCUAACUUUGGGAGGUUGUGAGUUGCAUUGAGCCUGCCUUACUAGGGAAAGACAGCACACAAGAGGGUGAUUGGGGGGGAGAGACGAUGGUGUGGGUUUAUACAACCCCCCUCUGCCUUCAUUAGUGCCCCAUGGGCAUCAGUCUUGUUCAGCAGCCCACUUCCUGAUCAGUAAACAAGGAUCCCUUUGCCUUCUGCAUCUGGGCUGCUGCUGCUCAUCUGUCUUUCAGACCUGUUUGCUUUUAAAUGCAGCCUUGUUCCUAGUUGGUGCUGGGAGCUGGGUUUCAAAGUAAUAAAAUGCAACCAACUUUGCAGGCAGCCUAUCAGAAGCACUCCUUCGUCACCCCCUCUCUCUGCACCUUCCUCGCUCAGAGUCAACUUGGGAGCACCAGUAUCUCUGCCUGGCGCUGGAUGAGUGCAAGGAGAUCCUUGAGGGCAUCCAGGAGGAGUUGAGGCAGGCAGAGAAUCACGGGCGGCUGGAUGCCUCCCCAAAGCGCCUGGAUGCCAGAUCUCUGCACAAGAGCAGCCACCCACUGGCCAGGCAGUUCCAGGUAGGGCCUCCCCUUCGCCCUCCCUCCAAUCCCUGGCCUUGUCCUGCUCUUCCCCUCUGUGAAAUGCUGCCUUUUUCUGCCCUUGCUGUGCAGAACCUUGACCUCAUGAAACACCACAUAAUUCAGGAGGGGCCUCUGCAGCUGCGCAAUCAACAAGAAGACGACUGCGGGUACGUGGAAGAAACAACCUCUCCCGCCAAAACACACACACAUGGCACAGGCCUCUCAGAGUGGAGGGGCAUGCACUCUUCCUCUGCAGUUGGCUUUGCCAUGUAGACCCCCCCUUUUCUGUUAAGACAGGAACCAAUGAGGGGAGGGGAUUGUGGCCUUGUGGCAGAAAGACUCUGGAGUCUAAAAGCCCCGGAGAGUCACUGCUGCAAAGUGGAGCCUUAGCUGUCAAAACAUCCAACUUUCACGAGUGUUUAGAGCUGUCAUACAACAAGCCACAGAUCACAAGACUCUCGGAAAUAGUGUUUGGGUGGCAGAAGGGCUCUGGUAGCUCGAUGGCAGAAUACCUGCUUGGCAUGCAGAAGGUCCCAGCUUCAAUCCCCAACGACAUUUCCGGGUUGAGCUCAGGGGAAGACUCCCUGCCUGGGACCCUGGAGAGCCAUUUCUGCCAGUCAGAGUAGACAAGACAGGGCUAGAUGGGCCCAAGGGCCUGAUUUGGUCCAGCCUCCUUUGUUCCUCUGGCCUGGAUGGGCCUUUGGCCUGAUUCUGCGGCCUGGCACCUAGAUGGUCUCUUCAGGAUCAGUGGAGCUGGUGAGCAACAACCCCUCUCUCUGUGUGUGCUUGUGUCCCUUAGGCCUGCACGUCCUGCUUCUGGAACAUCUUGCAGUAUUCCUGAAGCCGAAGGGGCGGUGGAUGCAGUUAAAAUGCUUCAGGAGGAAGGCAGGGGGCUCUGUUUUAAGCCCCGUGGUUCCUCUGGAGACCACCCUCGUCCGCCCUGCAGCCACAGGUAAGAAGGGGGGGCCAUAACACCACCGCUCUUCAUGACACCAUGAGCAACAACCCCUCACUCUCUGUGUGUGCGUCUCUUAGGCCUGCACGCCCUGCUUCUUAAAGACCUGGUCGUGUUCCUGAAGCCAAAGGAGAAGUGGGUGCAGAUGAAAUGCCUGAGGAAGAAGACAGAGCAGGGCUCCUCUUUAAGCGCUCGUCUGUCCCUCAGCCGGAGGCAAGAAGGGGUGCCAUAACACCACUACACAUGAUGACCCUGUAAGGACUCUUCUUCCAUCUUGUCUAUUUUCUCUGUUCAGAUCCAAGAUCAUUCUUCCUGAUCUGUGUUUUGGAGGAGACACCAGGCAUCUAUGAGCUGGUGGCGUCCAGCCCUUCUGAGAGGAUCGUGUAAGAUGUUUGCCUCUUAUUCUCCCCUGGCAAAUGACAACAAGCCAAGCAGUCUAAACGAAGCUACAAGCACAGAAACGAGAUGUAUUUGGGGGGGGAGACAUACAUUAAGUGUCAAAAGGCAGGGUAAAGGUUAGAUCUCUGUAAAACGAGCAUUGGAGAAGCCCACGGUCUAACAGUUUCAGUUUGGUCAGUCACAGGGACAGCAUCUCUGCGGAUAUGGGAUUUUUCUAUAGCGAUCUUCAAGAACAGCAGAGUUUGACCCUGGCCUUUAAUAUACAACAGUAAUUUAUGGUGCUGGAGGAGACUCUUGAGAAUCCCAUGGACUGCAAGAAGAUCAAACUUCUCCAUUCUGAAGGAAAUCAGCCCUGAG